rnacentral:lncRNA from 1 species
AUGAUUCGUGGAUGGAUAUGAGCAUUGUUAUUGGGGUCCUGUGAUAUCAGAUGUGUGAAGAGCUACUUCUUCAGACGUAGUUGACACUGCUCUUCGUUUUUAGUCCUAUUCAAAAAUGGAAAAAGCUGAGCUAGAAAGCAAAGAGGCAUGUAACACGAGCAGGUUUAGUGGUGAAAAAAAAAAGAGUGGUUUUUUAUCACGGGCAGUGCAGGCCUGGUGCUAGUUAUUCUGGUGCUAGUUGAGCUACUACACAUCCGUAGAGAACUGCCACAGGUACAUAGACUAAGAUUCUAAGCUGCUCGGACUCUUCAAAAAUGUCAAUGGAUGCGUGUCAGAUACUCCAAAGAUAGGUAUUUUUGAAGGAUCCGACACGGGUGCGGCAACAUUUUUGGAGAGUUCGAGCAACUUAGCUAAGAUUCAUACAGCUAGGGCCGCUCGUAGACAGGGUCAACAAGGUGCACAAGUUGCUCAGGGAGCAGGUGGACCAUCGAAAUUAUUCCCUAUGGUCAGACAUGAUAUCAACACAUCUAAUGCAGUAGUCAUAGGUAUUAUCACUGUCAAUCUCGUGAGGCAUAUGCUCUUAUUGAUCCUGGUUCAACGUAUUCGUGAUCUCAAUUUUUUGCUAUAUCCUUAAAAUGAAAAAUCGAUUCUUUUAUUGUGCCAUAUAUAGUAAUGACCGCAGCAGUGAAACUUUAUCCGUGGAUAGACUAUAGGGUUUGGAGUAACUGGUAAAGUUGCUGCCAUGUGACCAGGUGGUCACGGGUUCAAGCCUUGGAAACAGCCUCUGGCAGAAAUGCAAGGUAAGACUGCGUAUGAUACACCCUUGUGGUGGGGCCCUUCCCCGAACACCACGCAUAGAGGUAGCUUUAGUGCACUGGGCUGCCCUUAGACUAUAGGGUUUAUAGAAACUGUGUGAUAGUUGUGCAAAAAUGGACACCAUCGUAGAUCCACUAGUGUCGAUGUCUGACUUUGAUGUGCUUAUGGGUAUGGAUUGGUUGGGGUUAUGUUAUGCUUUGGUUGAUUGCUAUGCUAAACUUAUACAUUUUGAUUUCCCCCCCCAAAAAAAAAAAAAACCUUUAGUGUGAAAAAACAUGACUCGCACAUAAUAUCUAAUGUAAAGGCACGCCAAAAUGAUUAAUCAUGGGUGUUCGAAUUUUAUUGCUAUCAUUCAUGAUACUCGAGCGAAAAUGUUACUAUUGACGGUGUUCCUAUUGUUCAAAAAUUUGUUGAUAUGUUUUCAAAAGAUUUGUCCCCGAUGUACUCAUAUUCAAAACAAAAAUCAGCUGAACUCUGACACGAUACAAAGUAAAAUUGGUUUGGAAAUAUCAAUCUUGCUUUACCUAAUUUGUGUUCUCCCAUUUUUAAUUAAUUUAUUCGUUGUACUAUAAACAUAAUCUAUACUUUAUGGCAUGUUAGGUCAGUAUAACUAAUAUAGGAUAAAAUAAAAGAAACUCAAAAAAGGAUCAACUAGACCAACGCAAAGUAGGCCACCAUAUAGUUGUAAAGGGUCGUGCACUAGGACCAAUCCCAUCCCUUUCUAAAAAUUACUGGCUCCAGACUUUUCCCUUAAGGAUGGAGCCAGCCUUGAACCAGACCAUGGCUCAUGUGCCAAAGAGAAAGUGAAGAUCCGCUAAUCAGGUGUAGGUCUAAGAAUUGCCGCUUACUGGUAGGCAGUGUUAUCAAAAAGCAAAAAGCACAAAAAAGCUCUAAGGUCCAUUGGGGCUUUAAGCACAAAUAAAGCAUGUGAUUUGAUAUUGUUUAGUCUCGCCAUUUGGGCAGAGGCUCACUAGAUGGAAAAAUAUGUCUUAGAGCCUUCGUUACAACACUGAAGCGCACGUUAAGUGAGGCGACACGCUCAACACGUUUUGUGCCUCGCUUCAGGGCAUAAGCACACCUUUGACGACACUGCUUUCAUGGGAAGCUGUUUGAUUCAAUCAAGGUCGCAGAGACUUUGAUACCAUGUGCAAAUAGAAAAGAAGCUAUUUGACAAUCAAGGUCACAGAGACUUUGAUACCAUGUGAAAAUAGAAAAGCUUCUCAAUUUACAAGAGGUAGAUCUUAAUUAAUCAACAUCAAUUGUCUGUGACAUAUUGGGAAGAAGAUACCCUUGGAAUGUGUACCAAAAAGUACUAAUCGAUUAUUUAAAUGGUGGAAGUGUGGUGGAAGUUCAAGGUUGGAUUGGAUAGAACUUAAUUAGGGUGUUAGCAAGAGGAUCUAGAUUGGUUUUUCCAUGAGAUAGCAGAAACGAGAUCAUUUUGAUUAGGAUCCACAACCUCUAUGUGCGCUUGGCUCAUCAUACUAAGGGUCAGCUAGGGGAAGAACACUUUAUAAUAGCAUCUCUGCCUAUGUUAGGAAAACUAUGUCAUCAACAAACUAUGUUAGAGAACCUGUUAUGGAAACUGUGCAAAUCUUAUAUAUAUCUACUUUUAAAGAUGAUUGAAGAAAGAAAAUUAACAAUAAACAUGAUUAAGAAGUAGAGGCAGUUGGGCAUCUAUACAACACAAAAGAUAUCAAAACAUUUACAAUGGAAGCUUAAAAACAAAAAUUUGAAGAAAAGAAAUUGUUGGGUUAUGCUUCGGGAGGAUAUAAGGAAGAAAGAUGUUUUCUAAGAGUAUUUUUAUACCUAAACUCAUGGAUUCUACUUCCACCUUUACUAUGGAACUGCAAAUUCUUACUAGGGAUGAUAACUUAGUACCAACACAGAAGCACAAUAGAUAAUCUAAGACCACCAUAAGUCAAAUUUCUAAGCUUAUUUCUCACACAAUUCGGCAAACCUCAGACAAGAUCUUUUUUUUAUGUGAUACUCGAACCAACAACCUUAAGUUCAGACGUGGAGGCGUUUUCCACUUGAGCUACCCUCUCGUGUCAAACAUCAGACAAGAUCUUAUCAAAACCUUUUCCACUCAAACAUUUCAACAAACCCACAAAACUCCUAAGUAUCUACACGAAUAUAAAGGAUUAUAUACCCCAAGACAGGUAAAUUAUUGAUAUUAAUUUUACAAUAAAGGAGAUAUUGCUAAAGGAGGGAAAGUGGGUAUCCUCAAGCCCAAAAACUAAGGAAAAAAGAACAAGACAUAAAUCACCUGCCCAAAAAUUACCGUUUUCAUUGAGGAAAGAGUAUAAUUCUACAACAUCGUGGUGCUACAGUAGAACUUUUUGGAUAUCAACGUAAAAUACACAGGGAAUGCAGAAAAAUAUCAAGCAGAGAACAAUAAUUAGGUGCAAUGAAAGCUUGCCUGUUCAGAGAGGUUGAGUCGUUGGCAGUUUUUCAAAGAACCCUGCUCAACUUUUGGAUCCCACUUAUUGUCAAAGAAAUAACCAUUAAUAUGACUCAUCGAUUUUUAGAACAAUCCCUUGAUUAGACCAAGAUCUUAGUGAGACAUCGACACCAAUCUUCAAAAGUUAAUACAAAAACAGGAUUGUUAUCCAUUUCAUUACACUCAGGCCAAACGCAGAGCUUAAGCACACUCCAUUUUUCUUCUAACAACUGAAGUGAUCAUUAUUUCAUUUUGAC